CACGUAGGGCGCAAGCGUUGUCCGGAAUUAUUGGGCGUAAAGAGCUCGUAGGCGGUCUGUUGCGUCCGCUGUGAAAACCCGGGGCUUAACCCUGGGCUGGCAGUGGAUACGGACAGACUAGAGGUAGGUAGGGGAGAAUGGAAUUCCCGGUGUAGCGGUGAAAUGCGCAGAUAUCGGGAGGAACACCUGUGGCGAAAGCGGCGCACUGGACCACAACUGACGCUGAGGCGCGAAAGCUAGGGGAGCAAACAGG
rnacentral:rRNA from 1 species